UUUUUUUGCCUAACUAAUUGACGAUUCUAGAUAAGGAUGUUACGUGAUUCUAGAUGACGAUUCUAGAUGACGAUUCUAGCAGGGCUGUUUGAUUGGGACAACUUCUUUGCCAUGUUCGACUUGCUGGGCAUUACAGCUGUGAAGUUGAAGGGGCAUCUGGUGUUAAUGAACCCCUCUGAAAAGGGCUGGAUUCAUGUCUGCUGCUUGUGAUCACCUAGGAUUUGCUAAUAAAGUCUCAUUAUCUUAUGAAGAUGGAGUUCAACAUGGUCGCAGCAUCAUAUUGUUCUAAUGGUGUUUGGGACAUGGUCGUAAAAUUCCUAAGUUGGUAUUUGAUUAUAAGUCUCGUGAGGUCCCUCAAUAUAUUCCUAACGAGGAAUUCCAUAUGUUCAGAUUGUUAAGAAUUAUCUACAUCAUGCUGGUUCUGAAGCGGUUCUGAAGCAAAAGAAGAUCUUAAUUUGUCAUUUUCAAAAAAGGAAGCAGGUUUGGAGCUCUCCCAUGUGUAGAUACAAGAUAUGUAUGCGGGAAUCAUAUGGGAGCUCUCCCAUAUGUUUCCUGGAUACAUGUCUUCUAUCUACACAACUUUGGUGACCAAAUUUCCAAAGUUGAAUAUUUGGUUGAAGGAGUGAAGUAAGUACUCCCUAUUUUCAUAACUAAAUAUAGAAAUUCUCGCUUUCUUGAAAAGAAUCUAAUCAUAUAUAAUUCUUGUUUGUUCAUUUGAUGUUGUUAAGCAUGUUAUUGUUAUGUAUUGUCUUUUGUUAUCUGUUUAACUUCUACAACUAAAGUUUAGGAUUGACUCUGUAUGUACACUUUUGUUCAUUUUUAGUUGAUGCACGACAGUUUGAUUUUUUUGUUGUUUUCUUUAGUGUUACCACUAAUCGGGGUGUUGCUAUUAGGGCCUAGUUAAGUGCGUCUAUGUUUGGCUUGUUGAUUGUUUCUAAUGGUUGCAGUACAUUGGUGGAUGUACAUAGGUUGAACAUUCUUUUUUGGCGCCAAGUAAUGUUUGGUUGGGAUAUGUAAUGGGAGUUUUAAUAUUUUAAGUUAUAACUUGUUGAAUUGGUUUUUCUUUUGCCGUGAUAAUGUUUGGGAUAUGUAAUGGAGGUUUUAAUAUUCAGGUUAUAACUUGUUGACCUGGUUUUUCUUUUGCCGUGACAAUGUGACAAUAUUUGGGAUAUGUAACUGAGAUUUGGCUGUUACUUGACUGGGAUUAAUGCAUGGUUUUUAUAGUUCAAUUUUAUUUUUGCAUCUUAAAUGUUUUAUAGCAUUAUUUUGUGUGUUUCUCUACACUUGUGCUAGUCUUCAUGGGCAUGUCAGUGAUGCAAAUGGAUUGAACGGUGUGAAAGCGUGGCCAGAUGAACUGGCUGGUUCACUUGAUGAUAUAGUUUUCAAUCAGCAGAUGAUUGUUAUGAAAGCCUGAUUGAUACUUGCUAUAUGACUUGUUCCAUCUACUUUCCCAAAUCAGAUUUCGGUAGAGAGAACAAUGACGUAGUUAAGAAGCAACUAAUUUGAGUGAAUUCCUUCUUACAUAUGACAGAGGGCCAUAUUUUUAGUGGUAAAGACUCUUUUAUUAGCAAUAAUUCACAUGUUAGGUUUUGCUGCGUCUGUUAAUAGUGUCACCAUCAUUGCCUGCCUUCAACCUGUUCUGUGAAACUGUUAGCCUUGCAUUUUUAAUGAUAUCCAUAUGCUAAUCACUCUUUUUUUAAUUCAUUGUGAUAACUAAUCCAUUCAUUAUGUGGACUAAAUUGAUGCUAUCAGAAACACAAUAGCGAUGUGUUUUGUCUUUGUUUCACCCUUUCGCUCUUUCUUUCUUUGUUCUUGUUUUUUGAAUCCUGCAUUUCGGAUUAGUUCACAACCACCUAGUAAAGAUACCAGUUCUUGAAUCGUAUUAUGUUAUAGAUACAAAUUUGUUUUUGAAGCUGUACUUGUGAUAACAGGGUAGUGGAUUGACCCCAUUGUUAGUGGACCUUUGAACUGAAUGAGGGUUAAAUACAUAUAGCUCUACGACUGUAAUGGAACUCUUCCACCUUUUACAAAUAUAGGGUUCAUUAUAUGUCAUUAUUGUCUUUGUUAUUAAUGUUUAGACAUAUGGUUUAAUUUAUUACUAUGAUUGAAACUUUUUGGGUUGUUUAGUGGGAACAAAACAUUGGCCAUUUUGAAAGAAAAUAAAUAGAAAAAUGAAUCAAAGUUGUGUCAUUUAUGUACCUAAAUUUUGUAGAAUAAACAUUUCAUGUCUCAAUGUAUAUGUUCUCAUCCCCAUCUUUUUCUUGAUUUUGUGCCUAUGAGACGCAUUAUGCUACUAAUUUAAAUUAAUGGCAUGUGUGUAUGGUAUUCUGACUGAUUGAAGUGUGAUCCUAUUAGUGUUGUGGUGCAUGUUGACAAGGUACGCAAUUGAGGUCUAGGGGUGGCAAAUGGGCGAGUGGGGCCGGGUUUGGGUUGGGUUGAAAAUGAGCGGGUCAAACAUGGGUCAAGACUCAUAUUCAACCCGCUCUGAACGGGUUGAAAAUAGGCGGGUAAAAAAUGAAUAGGGGUCAACUUAUCAUGAUCCGUGAAUUCAUUAAUUAUUAUUAUUAUUAUUAUUAUUAAUUUUUGUUUUUUAGAAGGUUUUAAAAAAUAUAAUAACAAAUAAAAAAAACAAUCCCAAACCUAGUAAUAUUUACCGACUCGAUUUAGAGAGAAGUGAAGGAAAGAGAAGAAAUAUUUGAUAUUUAAAAAAAAAAAAAUUUAAAAAUUUGAUGUUUAUAAACAUGGAAAAAGAAAAUGUAAUUUGUAUAUUUGAAAAAAGAAUUAAAAAAUUGAUCCAUUAAACCUGAAUGCUCCGUCUGAAAUUUUGUAAAAAUUAAAAUUUUCUUAAAAUUUUUUAUAUUUACAAACAUGGAAAAGGAAAAUGUAAUUUGUAAAAAAAAAUAAAAAAUUUGUCCCAUGAAAUCCGCUGACUCAAAAUAUAUUGAUGUUUUAAAAAUAAAAUUUUUUUAAAAACUUUGAUGUUUACAAACCUAGAAAAGGAAAAUGUAAUUUGCAUAUUUGGAAAAAUAAUAAUAAUAAAUAAUUUUUGACUCUUGAAAUUCGUCCGACGUGCCUAAAAUAUUGAUGUUUUAAAAAUAAAAUUUUGUUAGAAAAUUUGAUGUUUACAAAUAUGGAAAAGGAAAAUGUAAUUUGCAUAUUUGAAAAAAAAAAUUAAAAUUAAAAUUUUGACCCAUGAAACUCGCCCGACCCGUCCAAAAUAUGGAUGUUGAAAAAAUAAAAAAUUUGAUGUUUACGAACUUGGAAAAGGAAAAUGUAAUUUGUAAAAAAAAAAAUGACCGACCCAAAAUAUUGAUAUUUUUAAAAUUAAAUUUUCUUAAAAAUUUUUAUAUUUACAAAUAUGAAAAAGAAAAUGUAAUUUGCAUAUUUGAAAAAAAAAUAAAAAUAAAAAUUUUGACCCUUGAAACCCGGCCGACCCGCCCAAAAUAUUGAUAUUUAAAAAAUAAAAUUUUUGAUGUUUACAAAUUUGGGAAAGGAAAAUGUAAUUUGUAUAUUUGUAGGAAAAAAAAAUGACCUAUGAAACCCGGCCGACUCGCCCAAAAUAUUGAUGUUUAUAAACACGGACAAAGAAAAUGUAAUUUGCAUAUUCGAAAAAAAAAAAAACCCGGCUGACCCGCCUAAGAUAUUGAUGUUUAAAAAAUAUAAAUUUUCUUAAAAAAUUUUAUUAUUACAAACUUGAAAAAGGAAAAUGUAAUUUGUGUAUUUGUUAAAAAAAAAAAAAAAAUAUAGCCCAUGAAACCC